GGCGCACGGGUGCGGAACACGUGUGCAACCUGCCUUUAUCUGGGGGAUAGCCUUUCGAAAGGAAGAUUAAUACCCCAUAAUAUAUUGAGUGGCAUCACUUGAUAUUGAAAACUCCGGUGGAUAGAGAUGGGCACGCGCAAGAUUAGAUAGUUGGUGAGGUAACGGCUCACCAAGUCAAUGAUCUUUAGGGGGCCUGAGAGGGUGAUCCCCCACACUGGUACUGAGACACGGACCAGACUCCUACGGGAGGCAGCAGUGAGGAAUAUUGGACAAUGGGUGAGAGCCUGAUCCAGCCAUCCCGCGUGAAGGACGACUGCCCUAUGGGUUGUAAACUUCUUUUAUACUGGGAUAAACCUACCCUCGUGAGGGUAGCUGAAGGUACAGUAUGAAUAAGCACCGGCUAACUCCGUGCCAGCAGCCGCGGUAAUACGGAGGGUGCAAGCGUUAUCCGGAUUUAUUGGGUUUAAAGGGUCCGUAGGCGGACUCGUAAGUCAGUGGUGAAAUCUCAUAGCUUAACUAUGAAACUGCCAUUGAUACUGCGGGUCUUGAGUAAAGUAGAAGUGGCUGGAAUAAGUAGUGUAGCGGUGAAAUGCAUAGAUAUUACUUAGAACACCAAUUGCGAAGGCAGGUCACUAUGUUUUAACUGACGCUGAUGGACGAAAGCGUGGGGAGCGAACAGGAUUAGAUACCCUGGUAGUCCACGCCGUAAACGAUGCUAACUCGUUUUUGGGUUUUCGGAUUCAGAGACUAAGCGAAAGUGAUAAGUUAGCCACCUGGGGAGUACGUUCGCAAGAAUGAAACUCAAAGGAAUUGACGGGGGCCCGCACAAGCGGUGGAUUAUGUGGUUUAAUUCGAUGAUACGCGAGGAACCUUACCAAGGCUUAAAUGGGAAUUGACAGGUUUAGAAAUAGAUCCUUCUUCGGACAAUUUUCAAGGUGCUGCAUGGUUGUCGUCAGCUCGUGCCGUGAGGUGUUAGGUUAAGUCCUGCAACGAGCGCAACCCCUGUCACUAGUUGCCAUCAUUCAGUUGGGGACUCUAGUGAGACUGCCUACGCAAGUAGAGAGGAAGGUGGGGAUGACGUCAAAUCAUCACGGCCCUUACGCCUUGGGCCACACACGUAAUACAAUGGCCGGUACAGAGGGCAGCUACUAUGCGAAUAGAUGCGAAUCUCGAAAGCCGGUCUCAGUUCGGAUUGGAGUCUGCA
rnacentral:rRNA from 1 species